rnacentral:lncRNA from 1 species
UAUGCAUUUACGAAUGAUUUAAUCGAUUAAUUCAAGUAUUAAUCGAUUAAUUAAUCGAUUAAAACCCACUUUAAUCGAUUAAAAGCGCUCCAGACAGUUUUUUAAAAGAAUUUUUGCGCUGCAUUGACGGCUAUAAACGGUCAUAUUUUCCAAAAUCUGAACAUUGGGGAGCUUUCUUGAGCCUAUUUAUACCCCACUUGUCCCC